rnacentral:misc_RNA from 1 species
UCUCCGUUGGUGAACCAGCGGAGGGAUCAUUACCGAGUUCUCGCAACUCCCAACCCUUGCCAACCGUACCCCAGUCUGUUCUCGUUGCUUCUGGCGGUCCGCGCGGGGGGGGCUCUCGCAGUCCCCCCCCCCCCCCGCGAGGAGCUGCGAGCCCUUUGAACCUUGUAAAAAUCAACCACUAAAACCGUCUGAGCAAAAACUAAAAUGAAUCAAAACUUUCAACAACGGAUCUCUUUGUUAUGCCAUCGAUGGAAAACGCAGCAGAACGAACGCGAACCC